CCGCCUGCUUAGUAGACCCGCCAAUCCUUUGUGCUUGGCGGUCGUCUUCUUAGAGGGACUCUCGGAAAAAAUCCGGAGGAAGCUGGAGGCAAUAACAGGUCUGUGAUGCCCUUAGAUGUUCUGGGCCGCACGCGCGCUACACUGACCGGGGCAGCAAGUUCUAUCAUUUACCUUGGCCGGAAGGCCCGGGGAAUCUUGGAAACCCGGUCGUGCUGGGGAUUGUCCAUUGCAAUUAUUGGACAUGAACGAGGAAUACCUAGUAAGCGCAAGUCAUCAGCUUGCGUUGAUUACGUCCCUGCCCUUUGUACACACCGCCCGUCGCU
rnacentral:rRNA from 1 species